CUCUCAAGUUCAACAAAUGGCCACAGAGGGCGAAAAAAUCGACCGCGCGGCGCUGCUAAAGAAACAGGCAUAGUACACCAAUUAAAAAGGUUCCCCCGUUGAGCACAUUAUCUCCCGCUAGAGGCGCCGUAGUAAGCGCAAUUUUAACCUACAAACUUUCUUCAACAGUAAACGAAGCGUUGUUAUUGCAUGAUAAAGACUACAAAAUUAUAAUUUCUAAUUUUACAUUGUACUUUUCAUUACCAACUUUGUUGUUUUUUGUCAUUUUAAACGCAAAAUAGCGUUCAGCAUCAUCGACCUCCCACGUGACCUCUGGCCUGAAUUUAAAAUUUUUACCGGUAUGUUCGCGUGCGCGGCAGGUACGGAUUCCUUGGUUCGUACAUUGGUUGGUUAUUUUGUGCUAACACCAGUUUACUGCGCGUCGAUGUCUCGCGUUAUUUAAUUUGGGGUGUAAGCCUGAAAGCUAGGUUUCAGUCGUGAGCCAUGUGGAACACGUCUGCAUCGAAAUGGGAGCCGGGUCCUGCUGCAACUGGGGACAGCAAUACCGACAUGCAGUAAUGAGGAUGGCACCAGUAUAAAGCAACACACUCCAUGCACAAACAGAAGCUGCUGCCUGCUACAACAAGGUCAUUGUGUGGACUUUGGCUGCUACUACAAGAGUCUGUGCCAAGUACAUCUUGGUCAUCACGGGAGCCCCCAUCUACACCAACAGGAAGGGGCUGGAGCUGAAUUCGCAAGACCACAAACAAAGAAGCCAUUCCAGAAUUAUUUGGAUGAGAUAUCAAGUCUACGGACGACUGUUUCAAGAGUGAAAAGAGCCUACGCCAUCAUUCCACCAGCACGGAUAUUGGCCAAGUCAUCCAGGUACCUCAACAACAAAAAUUAUUUGUCUUCAGAUGUACCUGCAACCUCUGAACAAGCACAGAUGACGCUGGCUAAGAGUGUUCUGUCAGCUUGCCCUUCCUUAGUGAGCUUCCUGGCCUUGCCAGUUCUUGCCAAGUAUAAUUUUGUUUCAAUUAAUGCAAGCUUUUUCAUUCCACACUUUUGUUAGAGAUCAUUCCUAUUCCUCAUACAAACAAUAAAGGUCAACCGAUUCUUUGCUCAUACUUAAUGCCAGUCACUGUCUAGUAGCAUAACAUAUGUGUAGCAGUUCUUUCUAGUGUAUGUUGCCAUGUGCAAUUCCUCUCCUGAAAUAGCUGAUGCAGCAUUGGCGUGUGUCUUGCAUUAACCUUUACACUGUGUGCUAUGUAGCAUUUAACUUUUGUUAAUGUUUUUGGCUUUCAAUGCUUGCAAGGUAGAGUGGCUUCUUUCUUGAAUGCAAGCUUUCUCAUUCCCAUAUUGAAUUCCUAGUCUCAUUCAGGAUUGCUAUUCUUGCUCGACAGCUUGUGUUUUUGUGCAAACUACAUUGAAGUGAUUGAUUGCAGAAUCUGGUUUCGGCGCUGUCCGACUUGGUACUUGUCACCGUUUUACGUUUCUCAUAUGUGGGAGCCUGGUCAGUUGCAUUGGGAAACAGUCUCUCGAGGCAAGCACCUGCUCCUACAGUCCGCACAGUGACAUAGACUGCGAAUUUACACGCACACCGUGGUUGGUGCUCCCCGUUCCAUCCUUUCCUGCUGCUGCCGUGUGCAAAUUUUGCUUGUGGUCUUCCUCGGCCAUGAUUUGGCGUCAACGGAGACUCUCAUACAUAAUUACAUGGUUCUAAGUGUAUGAAGUUGAUAUCCACAUGUGUGGAAAGGCCUGCAAAAGUGACUGCAAAAUAGUGAUGCUCACAAAACCAACCAUGCCCAUAUAUAGAGAAUGUGGGGUACCAAGUGUGAGUUACACAUUAGUGGCAUGCAAAAGAAAAAAAGAAACAUGCAGGUUGG